GAGCUCGUCGACUGUGACACGUCCUACAACGCCGGAUGCAAUGGCGGUCUCAUGGACUACGCCUUCGAGUUCAUUAUCCUAAACGGCGGCAUUGACACUGAAUCCGACUACCCUUACAAAGCAUAUGACCAAAAAUGCAACGUUGCCCUGGUCAGUCCAAAAUUUUCAAUGCCAAUCCCCUAUUUAUACUCUUGUAGGGUAAUAUUUCAUUUUUUCUAACGUCUUGCUUUGUUGCACUAUAAUUUUGCAGGAGAAAAAUACGGUUGUUAGCAUUGACGGGUACGAAGAUGUUCCGUCCUACGACGAGAACGCAUUGAAGAAAGCAGUUGCACACCAACCCGUUAGCGUGGCCAUUGAAGCCGGCGGCUUGGCCUUACAACUCUACCAGUCGGGUGUUUUCACUGGUGAGUGCGGAUCAGCAUUGGACCACGGUGUCGUUGCCGUCGGGUAUGGCA
rnacentral:lncRNA from 1 species